rnacentral:lncRNA from 1 species
AGAGAGGGGGAACCCUUUGAAAUAGCUUGCAAUCCCAGAUCCGUAAGCCCACUGCAAGAGGUGAUAGAAAUGGACCUCAACCUCUGCAAGCCAAGAGUCUUUCCCAUAACCCAAAAUCCCUUCUCAUUCACCUUCUGUAGGUCAAUAAGGGCUAAGUCGAUUACAUUCUUCCCAUAAUGACCAAUGACAGCAAGCACGAGAUCACUGAUGUUCAAAGUCUGAAGUUUUAUUCGUUGCAAGGAUGAC